rnacentral:rRNA from 1 species
CUGGGUUGGAUGAGUGGCGAACGGGUGAGUAACACGUGAGUAACCUGCCCUCUUCUUUGGGAUAACGGUCGGAAACGGCUGCUAAUACCGGGUAUUCACUGUCCCUCGCAUGGGGGGUGGUGGAAAGGUUUUUUCUGGUGGGGGAUGGGCUCGCGGCCUAUCAGCUUGUUGGUGGGGUGAUGGCUUACCAAGGCUUUGACGGGUAACCGGCCUGAGAGGGUGACCGGUCACAUUGGGACUGAGAUACGGCCCAG